rnacentral:rRNA from 1 species
UACGUAGGGAGCAAGCGUUGUCCGGAAUCAUUGGGCGUAAAGCGCGCGUAGGCGGUCUCAUAAGUCCGUUGUGAAAGUCAAAGGCUCAACCUUUGAAAGCCGAUGGAUACUGUGAGGCUAGAGUUCGGAAGAGGCGAGUGGAAUUCCUGGUGUAGCGGUGGAAUGCGCAGAUAUCAGGAGGAACACCAAUAGCGAAGGCAGCUCGCUGGGACGAUACUGACGCUAAGGCGCGAAAGCGUGGGGAGCGAACAGG